rnacentral:tRNA from 1 species
GUGGGUGUAGCUCAAUUGGUAGAGCACCAGAUUGUGGUUCUGGGUGUCGUGGGUUCGAUCCCCAUCACUCACC